rnacentral:misc_RNA from 1 species
GAUGAAGAACGUAGCGAAAUGCGAUAAGUAGUGUGAAUUGCAGAAUUUAGUGAAUCAUCGAAUCUUUGAACGCACAUUGCGCCCUAUAGUAUUCUGUAGGGCAUGCCUGUUCGAGCGUUAUUGAGACCUCAAGCUCUGCUUGGAAAUGGGCGCUUGUCUUGCCUUGCAGACUCGCCUUAAAACCAUUGGCAGCUGAUUUACAAUGUUUGGUGCACAGUACAUGAGCCCAAGUGUUGCAAUGAGUGGCCCAAAAGUAUACAAUAGAAGCUUAACCUCGGGUCAGGUAGGGAUACCCGCUGAACUUAAGCAUAUCAAUAAGCGGAGGA